ACACCGCCCGUCGCUACUACCGAUUGAACGGCUCAGUGAGGCCUUCGGACUGGCCCCAGGAGGUCGGCAACGACCACCAGGGGCCGGAAAGUUGGUCAAACUUGGUCGUUUAGAGGAAGUAAAAGUCGUAACAAGGUUUCCGUAGGUGAACCUGCGGAAGG
rnacentral:rRNA from 1 species